AGUUUGAUUAUGGCUCAGAUUGAACGCUGGCGGGAUGCUUUACACAUGCAAGUCGAACGGCAGCACGGACUUCGGUCUGGUGGCGAGUGGCGAACGGUGAGUAAUGUAUCGAACGUGCCUAGUAGCGGGGGAUAACUACGCGAAAGGUAGCUAAUACUGCAUAUUGCCCUUCGGGAAAGGGGACCCGGGCCUCGCACUGACGGAGCGGCCGAUAUCGGAUUAGCUAGUUGGUGGGGUAACGGCUCACCAAGGCGACGAUCCGUAGCUGGUUUGAGAGGACGACCAGCCACACUGGGACUGAGACACGGCCCAGACUCCUACGGGAGGCAGCAGUGGGAAUUCUUGGACAAUGGGGGAAACCCUGAUCCAGCCAUCCCGCGUGUGCGAUGAAGGCCUUCGGGUUGUGGAAGCACUUUUGCAGGAGUAAGAAACGGCACGUACAUGUCUCGUGCAACUGACGGUACCUGCAGAAUAAGCACCGGCUAACUACGUGCCAGCAGCCGCGGUAAUACGUAGGGUGCAAGCGUUAAUCGGAAUUACUGGGCGUAGCAGGGCAGGCGGUUCGGAGAGAUGUGAAAUCCCAGAGCUUUAACUUUGAACUGCAUUUUUAACUACCGAGCUAGAGUGUGUCAGAGGAGGUAACUGCGUAGCAGAAAUGCGUAGAUAUGCGGAGGAACACCGAUGGCGAAGGCAGCCUCCGGGGGAUAACACUGACGCUCAUGCACGAAAGCAUGGGGAGCAAACAGGAUUAGAUACUCCCGGUGGUCCACGCCCUAAACGAUGUCAAUUAUUGUUGGGGCCUUCGGGCUUCGGUAGCGCAGCGAACGCAGAAGUUAAUCGCUCAGAGUACGGUCGCAAGAUUAAAAACUCAAAGGAAUUCGACGGGGACCCGCACAAGCGGUGGAUGAUGGGAUUAAUCUGGAUGCAACGCGAAAAACCUUACUCACCCUUGACAUGUCUGAAUCCCGAAGAGACGGGGAGGCUCGCAAGAGAACCGGAACACAGGUGCUGCAUGGCUGUCGUCAGCUCAUGUCGUGAGAUGUUGGGUUAAGUCCCGCAACGAGCGCAACCCGUCAUUAGUUGCUACGAAAGGGCACUCUAAUGAGACUGCCGGUGACAAACCGAGGAGCGGUAGAUGACGUCAAGUCCUCAUGGCCUCUAUGGUAGGGCUUCACACGUCAUACAAUGGUCGGGACAGAGGGUCGCUAACCCGCGAGGGGAGCCAAUCCCAGAAACCGAUCAGUCCGAUCGUAGUUCCUGGUGGCACUCGACUGCGUGAAGUCGGAAUCGCUAGUAAUCGCGGAUCAGCAUGUCGCGGUGAAUACGUUCCUGGUCUUGUACACACCGCCUGUCACACCAUGCGGGGAGUGGGUUUUACCAGCGUUAGCCUUAACCGUAAGGAGGGCGAUUAAUACGGUAGGAUUCAUGACUGGGGUGAAGUCGUACGCGUAGCUCUGUUGUUACCUACGCUCCGAGAUAAACACAACGAAC
rnacentral:rRNA from 1 species